rnacentral:rRNA from 1 species
UACGGGGGGAGCAAGCGUUGUUCGGAUUUACUGGGCGUAAAGGGCGCGUAGGCGGCCAGCACAAGUCAGUUGUGAAAUCUCCGAGCUUAACUCGGAAAGGUCAACUGAUACUGUGCGGCUAGAGUGCGGAAGGGGCAACUGGAAUUCUUGGUGUAGCGGUGAAAUGCGUAGAUAUCAAGAGGAACACCUGCGGCGAAGGCGGGUUGCUGGGCCGACACUGACGCUGAGGCGCGACAGCGUGGGGAGCAAACAGG